GCAGCCUCUGAACACAGCUGCUGCUCCGUUGGACUGUGUGGGCUUUGUUGUUGUCGUCGCUGCUCCCGCUGCUGCUGUUAAAAGGCGGCAGAGCAAGCGCAACAGGAGCAGCCACGUUGCGGCGCGCCGAUCGCUGUGCAAGAAUUAGAAGCAGCAGAGGCUGAGACACACACCAUCAAAGUCGCAAGCAGAAGGUCGACUAUCGUAUGUGAAGUUGCAUGCAUAGAGAACUGGAAUAAUAAACAGAGGCAAGACAACGAGCCAACCAGUUGCAGACUUGGCUAAUUGCAACUUCUGUUUCCGUUUCGCCAUUGGCAGGGCCCAAAAUUAAUGGUAAUUUCAUGCUGUCAUUGCGCAAAAAUCAACACGGCCCCCGAAGCGCCAGCAGAACAAAACACAAAGGUACGUAACUGGGGUAAUU